AACCCCACUGGUUUCUGUUGAAACUACCUGUGUGACUACAUACAGAGUGAUACCCGUCUUUAGUGCAUAGUCAGGUUUAUGUGCCUUUUCUGUUUUACAGGUUGCGAACACAAAGAAGGAGACUGUUUUCAAGUGGUAUAAGGAUGGUUCUGGGAUUGAUCUUGAUGAGGUGCCUGAUCUGCAGAAGGAAGAAUGUCACCUCAGUAUUCCCGGGCUGUCUCGCAAGGACGAAGGAGUUUACAAGGCAACGCUAUCAGAUGACAGAGGUCAUGAUGUAUCUACUCUUGAAUUAUCAGGAAAAGAGGCCUGAACUGCAUAUCACCAGUUUAGGAAAGGAGACACCGGGCACUGUAAUGAUUAAUCUUUAUCACUCUAACAAGCAAGAAAUGAAGUAAGUUUCUAAUGAAACAGAUACCCCCUUUUAUAUGAAAUCUUUUGUAGAGAGCUCUCUUUCUUUCAGACUUUUUAAGCUUUAAUGUCUACAAGAACCCCUAAAGCACCAAAGUGCUCAAUAUGUUGAUAUGGGACUGUCAAUGGGGACUGAGAGUUGUUUUGAUUGUAAAAUCCUAAAGCUGUUUUGUGAGUUAACUCCACAGCAGCUCAGCCCUACACAACCACUUUCUCACCCUCCGUCUCCCUCCCAUCUUACCCUUCUCCCCUCUACCUCCUUGGUGGGAUGUGGGAGAGGACUGGAAGACUCGUGAGUUGAGAUAAAGACAUUUUAAUGGGUAAAGCAAAAACCACACACACAAGUAAAGCAAACCAGGAAAUUCAUUCACCAUUUCCCAUUGUCAGGCAGGUGUUCAGCAAUUUCCAGGAAAGCAGGGCUCCAUCAUGCAUAAGAGUAACUUGAGAAGCUGAAACAUGAUCAGUCUGAACAUCCCCUGUUCUACCUCCUUCCCCCAGCUUUUAUUGCUGAUCAUGAUGCCACAUGGUCUGGGAUAUCCCUUGGAGUCAGCUGGGGUCAGCUGUCCUGGCUGUGUCCCCUCCCAAAUCUUUGUGCACCUCCAGCUUACUCACUGGUAGGUCGGUUGAGAGCAGAAAAGGCCUUGACUCUGUGUAAGCACUGCUCAGCAAUAACAAAAACAUUGCUGUGUCAUCCAUGCUGUUUUAGCCACAAAUCCAAAACACAGCACCAUACAAGCUGCUAUGAAGCAAAGUAACUCUGUCUCAGCCAAAACAACUAUCAUCUCCAUCCUUUAUUCCAUACCAUUUAUGCCAUGCUCAGGUCCCACACUAUCCA